rnacentral:rRNA from 1 species
AAUCCAUAGGUUAAUGAGGCGAACCGGGGGAACUGAAACAUCUAAGUACCCCGAGGAAAAGAAAUCAACCGAGAUUCCCCCAGUAGCGGCGAGCGAACGGGGAGGAGCCCAGAGCCUGAAUCAGCAUGUGUGUUAGUGGAAGCGUCUGGAAAGGCGCGCGAUACAGGGUGACAGCCCCGUACACAAAAGCGCAUGUGCUGUGAGCUCGAUGAGUAGGGCGGGACACGUGGUAUCCUGUCUGAAUAUGGGGGGACCAUCCUCCAAGGCUAAAUACUCCUGACUGACCGAUAGUGAACCAGUACCGUGAGGGAAAGGCGAAAAGAACCCCGGCGAGGGGAGUGAAAAAGAACCUGAAACCGUGUACGUACAAGCAGUGGGAGCACAGGUUUACCUGUGUGACUGCGUACCUUUUGUAUAAUGGGUCAGCGACUUAUAUUCUGUAGCAAGGUUAACCGAAUAGGGGAGCCGGAGGGAAACCGAGUCUUAAUUGGGCGUUAAGUUGCAGGGUAUAGACCCGAAACCCGGUGAUCUAGCCAUGGGCAGGUUGAAGGUUGGGUAACACUAACUGGAGGACCGAACCGACUAAUGUUGAAAAAUUAGCGGAUGACCUGUGGCUGGGGGUGAAAGGCCAAUCAAACCGGGAGAUAGCUGGUUCUCCCCGAAAGCUAUUUAGGUAGCGCCUCGUGAAUUCAUCUCCGGGGGUAGAGCACUGUUUCGGCUAGGGGGCCAUCCCGGCUUACCAACCCGAUGCAAACUGCGAAUACCGGAGAAUGUUAUCACGGGAGACACACGGCGGGUGCUAACGUCCGUCGUGAAGAGGGAAACAACCCAGACCGCCAGCUAAGGUCCCAAAGUCAUGGUUAAGUGGGAAACGAUGUGGGAAGGCCCAGACAGCCAGGAUGUUGGCUUAGAAGCAGCCAUCAUUUAAAGAAAGCGUAAUAGCUCACUGGUCGAGUCGGCCUGCGCGGAAGAUGUAACGGGGCUAAACCAUGCACCGAAGCUGCGGCAGCGAACGUAUCACUUAAAGCGAUUCAGCGGGUUACGAUUGACGGAGCGAAGCGACGUCAAAGCGUAUACAAAGUCGAGUCGGUUUAAGGAUACGUUCGUUGGGUAGGGGAGCGUUCUGUAAGCCUGUGAAGGUGGCCUGUG